ACGGGUAGUCUUAACUUUCCCUGGGGCCCCCGUCCUUCUGAAGCGAAAGCUUUUGACGCACAUUUACUAGAUUAACGUAGGCUGUACUUUUUGUUUGUUCUACCGGUAAAAAUCAAGAUAAGAUAGUCGAUAAAUCAUUUUUUUUUGUUCAACUGGAUAUUCAAACAGUGGUAUGGUGGCGCGCGCUUUGAGGUGUUUCUUUUUCGGUUCUGUGUGACUUCCUGGUGCUACAGAGAGAGGCAGUGCUGAGUUAAAAAGACAGAAACACAAACAGCAUUUUAGAAAGGAAAAAUAGAGAGUGGGAAGCAGGAGCGAGAGAGAGGAGCAGUUGGCUGGCUUCCAGAUUCAGCCCCGCUCCACUCUUUGCAUAUUUAUGAAAUUAAUGUAUCUAUCUUUUUGUUCUAUUUAUGAUGCACGUAUUUAUUAGAAUCGACUGAAUCUACUGGAUUGGGUUUGACAAGGGGUUAAAACGAAAUUGUAACGGGAAGGUUUUUCUCUGAGCGACGGAGAAGUGGCGCACGGAUUUAUCGCCCCAUUUGUUCUCAUUUUAUAUUGAAAGAAGGAUUUACAUUAGCUGUUAUUUUAUACUUUCUGUUUACGAGAAGAGGUCAGCGGAAGAUGGGUUGUUUGGGCAACAGCAAGACUGAAGAUCAACGCAUCGAUGAAAAGGCACAAAGAGAAGCGAAUAAAAAAAUAGAGAAACAAUUACAAAAGGAAAGACAAGCAUAUAAAGCCACACAUCGACUGCUUUUAUUGGGGGCUGGAGAGUCUGGGAAAAGCACGAUUGUCAAGCAGAUGCGGAUUCUGCACGUCAAUGGCUUUAACGCAGAAGAAAAGAAACAGAAGGUCCUGGACAUCCGGAAAAAUGUGAAGGAUGCCAUUGUGACGGUAGUUUCGGCGAUGAGCACGUUAAUACCCCCAGUUCCAAUAGGUAACCCAGCGAACGAGUACAGAAUUGACUACAUCAAAAGUAUAGCACCUCUCUCGGACUUCGACUACACAGAGGAGUUCUUCGAGCAUGCCAAGCAGCUGUGGGACGAUGAAGGCGUGAAGGCUUGCUUUGAGCGCUCCAAUGAGUACCAGCUCAUCGACUGCGCACAGUACUUCUUGAACAAAAUUGAGUCUGUGAGGUCGAAUGACUACACACCAACAGAUCAGGACUUGCUUCGCUGCCGAGUUUUGACUUCAGGUAUUUUUGAAACAAGAUUUCAAGUCGACAAAGUGAACUUUCAUAUGUUUGAUGUAGGCGGCCAGAGAGACGAGAGGAGAAAAUGGAUCCAGUGCUUUAACGACGUGACGGCCAUCAUCUUUGUGGCAGCAAGCAGCAGUUAUAACAUGGUCAUAAGGGAAGACAACAGCACCAACAGACUCCGGGAAUCACUGGAUCUCUUCAAGAGCAUCUGGAAUAACAGGUUGGUCCUCAGUCACCUCGUCUGGCUCUCUGCCCUCUGGUCCACAGUCACCUCGUCUGGCUCUCUGCCCUCUGGUCCACAGUCACCUCGUCUGGCUCUCUGCCCUCUGGUCCACAGUCACCUCGUCUGGCUCUCUGCCCUCUGGUCCACAGUCACCUCGUCUGGCUCUCUGCCCUCUGGUCCACAGUCACCUCGUCUGGCUCUCUGCCCUCUGGUCCACAGUCACCUCGUCUGGCUCUCUGCCCUCUGGUCCACAGUCACCUCGUCUGGCUCUCUGCCCUCUGGUCCACAGUCACCUCGUCUGGCUCUCUGCCCUCUGGUCCACAGUCACCUCGUCUGGCUCUCUGCCCUCUGGUCCACAGUCACCUCGUCUGGCUCUCUGCCCUCUGGUCCACAGUCACCUCGUCUGGCUCUCUGCCCUCUGGUCCACAGUCACCUCGUCUGGCUCUCUGCCCUCUGGUCCUCAGUCACCUCGUCUGGCUCUCUGCCCUCUGGUCCUCAGUCACCUCGUCUGGCUCUCUGCCCUCUGGUCCUCAGUCACCUCGUCUGGCUCUCUGCCCUCUGGUCCUCAGUCACCUCGUCUGGCUCUCGCUGCCCUCUGGUCCUCAGUCACCUCGUCUGGCUCUCGCUGCCCUCUGGUCCUCAGUCACCUCGUCUGGCUCUCGCUGCCCUCUGGUCCACAGUCACCUCGUCUGGCUCUCUGCCCUCUGGUCCUCAGUCACCUCGUCUGGCUCUCUGCCCUCUGGUCCUCAGUCACCUCGUCUGGCUCUCUGCCCUCUGGUCCUCAGUCACCUCGUCUGGCUCUCGCUGCCCUCUCCCAACCCAAUUUUGCCGUACUGAACAUUUCGCACCAGAUUUAGUUUCUACGGACCAUUUCAGUCAUCCUGUUCUUGAACAAGCAGGACAUGUUGGCUGACAAGAUCUUAGCAGGGAAAUCCAAACUAGAAGACUACUUCCCUGAGUAUGUUCGCUAUACAGUACCGGCUGAAGCCGUUCCAGACCCUGGAGAGGACCCUAUAGUGACCCGGGCCAAAUUUUUCAUCCGAGAUGAGUUCCUU